CCGGCCCUCCGCGAGCACCCGCGGGGGAUCGGGUUCCGGACCCGGUCCGAUCCCGUUCCCACCGAGGGGCUGUCCGCGAUCAUGGAGGUGUCCUCGGACGGCGUCGAAUCCUUCUCCAGUCCGCGACGCUACGGCUUGGAUGGUCCACCCGACCCGUCUUGAAACACGGACCAAGGAGUCUAACAUGCGCGCGAGUCGUUGGGUCGGACACGCUCCGCUAAACCCAUAGGCGCAAUGAAAGUGAAGGCCGCCGUCGGGCGGCCGAGGGAGGACGGGGCCGCUCGCGCGUUCCGGCGCGCGUCGGUCCCCGCACCCCCGGGGCGUCUGAUCCCUCAUCGCGAGGGGAGGCGCACCCAGAGCGCACACGUUGGGACCCGAAAGAUGGUGAACUAUGCCUGGCCAGGACGAAGUCAGGGGAAACCCUGAUGGAGGUCCGUAGCGAUUCUGACGUGCAAAUCGAUCGUCGGAGCUGGGUAUAGGGGCGAAAGACUAAUCGAACCAUCUAGUAGCUGGUUCCCUCCGAAGUUUCCCUCAGGAUAGCUUGCGCUCGGAGGAGAGUCUCAUCCGGUAAAGCGAAUGAUUAGAGGCCUUGGGGCCGAAACGGCUUCAACCUAUUCUCAAACUUUAAAUGGGUGAGAACUCCGGCUUGCUCGACUUGUCGAAGCCGGAGACGGGGCUCCGGCCCCCGGGAUCGGAGUGCAUAGUGGGCCACUUUUGGUAAGCAGAACUGGCGCUGUGGGAUGAACCAAACGACGGGUUAAGGCGCCCGAAUCGACGCUCAUGGGAAACCAUGAAAGGUGUUGGUUGCUUAAGACAGCAGGACGGUGGCCAUGGAAGUCGGAAUCCGCUAAGGAGUGUGUAAUAACUCACCUGCCGAAGCAACUAGCCCUGAAAAUGGAUGGCGCUGAAGCGUCGUGCCUAUACCCGGCCGUCGCGGCAGGGCGGACCCGCGAGGGUGCCGUUCGAUGCGGCGACGAGUAGGAGGGUCGCGGCGGCGCGCGCAGAAGGGUCGGGGCUCGAGCCUGCCUGGAGCCGCCGCCGGUGCAGAUCUUGGUGGUAGUAGCAAAUACUCCAGCGAGGCCCUGGAGGACUGAUGUGGAGAAGGGUUUCGUGUGAACAGCCGUUGCACACGAGUCAGUCGAUCCUAAGCCCUAGGAGAAAUCCGACGCCAACGGCGACGGGAAAAACGAACGAAUGAAAGAAACCCGUUGAUCGGGCGAAAGGGAAUCCGGUUCCUAUUCCGGAACCCGGCAGCGGAACCGCUGUUUGUCGGGCCCUCACAAGGGGUUCGUCAGGGUAACCUAAAAGGGCCCGGAGACGCCGUCGGGAGCCCCGGAAAGAGUUUUCUUUUCUGCAUGAGCGUUCGAGUUCCCUGGAAUCCU
rnacentral:rRNA from 1 species